UACGUAGGGGGCGAGCGUUAUCCGGAUUCACUGGGUGUAAAGGGAGCGUAGACGGCCAUGCAAGUCAGAUGUGAAAUCCCGCGGCUCAACCGCGGAACUGCUUUGGAAACUGUUAAGCUGGAGUACUGGAGAGGCAAGCGGAAUUCCUAGUGUAGCGGUGAAAUGCGUAGAUAUUAGGAGGAACACCAGUGGCGAAGGCGGCUUGCUGGACAGAGACUGACGUUGAGGCUCGAAAGCGUGGGGAGCAAACAGG
rnacentral:rRNA from 1 species